rnacentral:rRNA from 1 species
ACGAACGCUGGCGGCGUGCCUAAUACAUGCAAGUCGAACGCUUCUUUUUCCACCGGAGCUUGCUCCACCGGAAAAAGAGGAGUGGCGAACGGGUGAGUAACACGUGGGUAACCUGCCCAUCAGAAGGGGAUAACACUUGGAAACAGGUGCUAAUACCGUAUAACAAUCGAAACCGCAUGGUUUUGAUUUGAAAGGCGCUUUCGGGUGUCGCUGAUGGAUGGACCCGCGGUGCAUUAGCUAGUUGGUGAGGUAACGGCUCACCAAGGCGACGAUGCAUAGCCGACCUGAGAGGGUGAUCGGCCACAUUGGGACUGAGACACGGCCCAAACUCCUACGGGAGGCAGCAGUAGGGAAUCUUCGGCAAUGGACGAAAGUCUGACCGAGCAACGCCGCGUGAGUGAAGAAGGUUUUCGGAUCGUAAAACUCUGUUGUUAGAGAAGAACAAGGAUGAGAGUAACUGUUCAUCCCUUGACGGUAUCUAACCAGAAAGCCACGGCUAACUACGUGCCAGCAGCCGCGGUAAUACGUAGGUGGCAAGCGUUGUCCGGAUUUAUUGGGCGUAAAGCGAGCGCAGGCGGUUUCUUAAGUCUGAUGUGAAAGCCCCCGGCUCAACCGGGGAGGGUCAUUGGAAACUGGGAGACUUGAGUGCAGAAGAGGAGAGUGGAAUUCCAUGUGUAGCGGUGAAAUGCGUAGAUAUAUGGAGGAACACCAGUGGCGAAGGCGGCUCUCUGGUCUGUAACUGACGCUGAGGCUCGAAAGCGUGGGGAGCAAACAGGAUUAGAUACCCUGGUAGUCCACGCCGUAAACGAUGAGUGCUAAGUGUUGGAGGGUUUCCGCCCUUCAGUGCUGCAGCUAACGCAUUUAGCACUCCGCCUGGGGAGUACGACCGCAAGGUUGAAACUCAAAGGAAUUGACGGGGGCCCGCACAAGCGGUGGAGCAUGUGGUUUAAUUCGAAGCAACGCGAAGAACCUUACCAAAUCUUGACAUCCCUCUGACCGGUCUUUAAUCGGACCUUUCCUUCGGGACUGGGGAGACAGGUGGUGCAUGGUUGUCGUCAGCUCGUGUCGUGAGAUGUUGGGUUAAGUCCCGCAACGAGCGCAACCCUUAUUGUUAGUUGCCAUCAUUUAGUUGGGCACUCUAGCAAGACUGCCGGUGACAAACCGGAGGAAGGUGGGGAUGACGUCAAAUCAUCAUGCCCCUUAUGACCUGGGCUACACACGUGCUACAAUGGGAAGUACAACGAGUCGCAAAGUCGCGAGGCUAAGCUAAUCUCUUAAAGCUUCUCUCAGUUCGGAUUGUAGGCUGCAACUCGCCUACAUGAAGCCGGAAUCGCUAGUAAUCGCGGAUCAGCACGCCGCGGUGAAUACGUUCCCGGGCCUUGUACACACCGCCCGUCACACCACGAGAGUUUGUAACACCCGAAGUCGGUGAGGUAACCUUUUGGAGCCAGCCGCCUAAGGUGGGAUAGAUGAUUGGGGUG